UAAUCUAUUUAAAGUAAAUUCUCAUUUAUAUAUAGUAGAUUCACACCCGACUGCUCAAAAUCACAUACUAAUAUGUGAAUAAUAACUUUUUGAGAUUUUAAUUAGAGU
rfam:Populus trichocarpa scaffold_2_contig_34, whole genome shotgun sequence.